rnacentral:piRNA from 1 species
UUAUAUUGCUUUAAGAAUGGUC